rnacentral:rRNA from 1 species
GACGAACGCUGGCGGCGUGCUUAACACAUGCAAGUCGAACGGAAAGGCCCUGCUUUUGUGGGGUGCUCGAGUGGCGAACGGGUGAGUAACACGUGAGUAACCUGCCCUUGACUUUCGGAUAACUUCAGGAAACUGCGGCUAAUACCGGAUAGGAGCUCCUGCUGCAUGGUGGGGGUUGGAAAGUUUCGGCGGUUGGGGAUGGUCUCGCGGCUUAUCAGCUUGUUGGUGGGGUAGUGGCUUACCAAGGCUUCGACGGAUAGGCGGCAUGAGAGGGUGACCGGCCACAUGGGGACUGAGAUAGGCAGCAGACGCCUACGGGAGGCAGCAGUGGAGAAUAUGGCAGAAUGGGCGGAAGCCUGAUGCAGAGACGCCGCGUGCGGGAAGACGGCCUUCGGGUUAUAAACCGCUUUGGACUGUGACGAAGCGUGAGUGACGGUAAUGAGUAAAGAAGCACCGGCUAACUACGUG